rnacentral:rRNA from 1 species
UACAGAGGUCUCAAGCGUUGUUCGGAUUCAUUGGGCGUAAAGGGUGCGUAGGCGGCGCGGUAAGUCGGGUGUGAAAUCUCGGGGCUUAACUCCGAAACUGCAUUCGAUACUGCCGUGCUUGAGGACUGGAGAGGAGACUGGAAUUUACGGUGUAGAGGUGAAAUUCGUAGAUAUUCGGAAGAACACCAGUGGCGAAGGCGGCUCACUGGACCGGUAUUGACGCUGAGGUGCGAAAGCGUGGGGAGCAAACAGG